UACGUAGGGUGCGAGCGUUAAUCGGAAUUACUGGGCGUAAAGCGUGCGCAGGCGGUUUUGUAAGCCAGAUGUGAAAUCCCCGGGCUUAACCUGGGAAUGGCAUUUGGGACUGCAAGGCUUGAGUGCGGCAGAGGAGACUAGAAUUCCUGGUGUAGCAGUGAAAUGCGUAGAUAUCAGGAGGAAUACCGAUGGCGAAGGCAGGUCUCUGGGCUGACACUGACGCUCAUGCACGAAAGCGUGGGGAGCGAACAGG
rnacentral:rRNA from 1 species